AACUCCAUCUCUAUUAAAAAUACAAAAAAUUAGACGGGUGUGGUGGUGCGUGCCAGUAAUUCCAACUACUCACGGGGCUGAGGCAGGAGAAUCGCUGGAACCCGGGAGGCGGAGGUUGCAGUGAGUCGAGAUGGUGCCACUGCACUCCAGCCUGGGCAACAGAGCAAGACUCUGUCUCAAAGAAAAAUAAAUAAAAAUAACAAAAUAAUAACAAAAUAAAAAAGAAACUGUUAAAAACAAAACAAAGGGCCGGACGUGGUGGCUCACGCCUGUAAUCCCAGCACUUUGGGAGGCCGAGGCGGACGGAUCACCUGAGGUCGGGAGUUGGAGACCAGCCUGGAUGUGAAACCUCAUUUCUACUAAAAAUACAAAAAAAUCAGCCAGGCGUGGUGGCGCGUGCCUGUAAUCCCAGCUACUCGGGAGGCUGAGGCAGGAGGCUGAGCUUGAAUCUGGGAGGCAGAAGUUGCAGUGAGCCGAGAUCGCACUAUUGCAUUCCAGCCUGGCAACAAGAGUGAAACUCCGUCUCAAAAACAAAAAAAGAAAGAAAGAAAGAAAACAAAAACAGAGUCGGGACACUCGGAGAGUCAGCGGAGCUCCUGGCAGCCCGAGCCGCUCUGCCCCCGCCUGGGGUUUGUUUUCCAGAAGGCGUUGCCUCCACUGAGGACCUUUCUGGAGGACGCAAGUCAUAAAAACGUCCCCACCCUUGACCCAGCAGUUCCACUUCCGGCAAUUUAUUCUAAGGAAACCCCAGGACAAGAGGGCAAAGGGUACAUACAGUCUCAAACAGGUGGAUUUUACAACCAAGCGGGAGGAUUUUGCCCACAGGAAGACCUUGGAGGUGGCUGCCAUCCAGAUGGCUCGGGCAGCCCAGCUGACCUGCUGCAGAGGCCUUCCUGGAGGGUCUCGGGCAUCGGGGUGUCCACACUGCAUCCUGGACAAGAGUGAGCCUCCGUCUCUGGGAGACACGCUGAGUGGGAGCCACACGUGUACCCUGGAGGAAGGCCUUCUGUGUUACUCAGCUCUCACAUUGCUGUAAAGAAAGACCUGGCCAGGCGCAGUGGCUCAUGCCUGUAAUCCCAGCACUUUGGGAGGCCGAGGUGGGUGAAUCACAAGGUCAGGAGUUUGAGACCAGCCUGACUGACAUGGUGAAACCCUGUCUCUACUAAAAAUACAAAAAUUAGCCGGGCAUGGUGGUGCGCACCUGUAGUCCCAGCUACUCAGGAGGCUGAGGCAGGAGAAUUGCUUGAAUCUGGGAGGUGGAGGUUGCAGUGAGCCGAGAUUGCGCCGCCACACUCCAGCCUGAGUGACAGAGUGAGACUCUGUCUCCACAAAAAAAAAAAAAAAAAGACAGACCUGAGGCUGGGUAACAUAUAAAGAAAAGAGGUUUGCAAUAUGGUUUGGCUCUGUGUCCCCACCCAAAUCUCAUCUGAAUUGUAAUUCCCAUCUGUUGAGGGCGGGACCUGGUGGGAGGCGAUUAGAUCAUGGAGGCAGUUUCUGCCAUGCUGUUCUUCUGAUAGUGACUGAGUUCUCACAAGAUCUGAUGGGUUUUUUUGUUUGAUUUUUUUUUAGACAGAGUCUGGCUCUGUCGCCCAGGCUGGUGUGCAGUGGCACAAUCUCUGCUCACUGCAACCUCCACCUCCUGGGUUCAAGCAAUUCUCCUGCCUCAGCCUCCCAAUUAGCUGGGAUUAUAGGUGCCCACCACAUCUGGCUAAUUUUUCUAUUUUUAGCAGAGACGGGAAUUCAUCAUGUUGGCCAGGCUGGUCUGAAACUCCUGACCUCAGGUGAUCCGCCAGCCUCAGCCUCCCAGAGUGCUGGGAUUACAGGCAUGAGCCAUUGCAACCAGCCAAGAUCUGAUGGUUUCAAGCCAGGCGUGGUGGCUCACGCCUGUAAUCCCAGCACUCUGGCAGGCCAAGG
rnacentral:lncRNA from 10 species